rnacentral:tRNA from 1 species
GGGGAUUUAGCUCAGUGGUAGAGCGCUUGCCUAGCAAGCACAAUGCCCUGGGUUCAGUCCCCAGCUCCCA